rnacentral:ribozyme from 14 species
UUGAUUUUUAUUUUUUUUUUUAAAUCUGAGGUUUUUUUUUUUUUUUUUUUUUUCAACUAGACUAUUAUAAAUAAAUAAAAUAAAUAAAGGAGGCCAACUAGCAGCUACAACAUAAUGAAAAGAAGGAAGAUAAGAAAAAAUUAUUAUCUAUAUAACAUUAUAACAUUC